rnacentral:rRNA from 1 species
GGUUCAGGACGAACGCUGGCGGCGUGCCUAAUACAUGCAAGUCGAACGGUCUUUCUAUGGAAGCUUGCUUCCACUGAGAAGAUAGUGGCGAACGGGUGAGUAACACGUGGGUAACCUGCCCAUAAGAGGGGGGAUAACAUCCGGAAACGGGUGCUAAUACCGCAUAGUUUCUUGAUCGCAUGAUCGGGAAAGGAAAGACGGCCUUUGUGCUGUCGCUUAUGGAUGGACCCGCGGCGUAUUAGUUAGUUGGUGAGGUAACGGCUCACCAAGACGAUGAUACGUAGCCGACCUGAGAGGGUGAUCGGCCACAUUGGGACUGAGACACGGCCCAAACUCCUACGGGAGGCAGCAGUAGGGAAUCUUCCGCAAUGGACGAAAGUCUGACGGAGCAACGCCGCGUGAGUGAAGAAAGGUUUUCGGAUCGUAAAACUCUGUUGUCAGAGAAGAACAAGUUGGAGAGUAACUGCUCCAGCCUUGACGGUAUCUGACCAGAAAGCCACGGCUAACUACGUGCCAGCCGCAGC